rnacentral:rRNA from 1 species
CCUACGGGAGGCUGCAGUGAGGAAUAUUGGUCAAUGGUCGGGAGACUGAACCAGCCAAGCCGCGUGAGGGAUGAAGGUACAGAGUAUCGUAAACCUCUUUUGUCAGGGAACAAAGGCGGGGACGCGUCCCCGGAUGAGUGUACCUGAAGAAAAAGCAUCGGCUAACUCCGUGCCAGCAGCCGCGGUAAUACGGAGGAUGCGAGCGUUAUCCGGAUUUAUUGGGUUUAAAGGGAGCGUAGGCCGCAUGUCAAGCGUGCUGUGAAAUGUCCUGGCUCAACCCGGGCGUUGCAGCGCAUACUGGCGGGCUUGAGUCCGCGGAAGGCAGGCGGAAUUCGUGGUGUAGCGGUGAAAUGCUUAGAUAUGACGAAGAACCCCGAUUGCGAAGGCAGCUUGCUGCAGCGGAACUGACGCUGAUGCUCGAAAGCGCGGGUAUCGAACAGGAUUAGAUACCCGAGUAGUC